GACGAACGCUGGCGGCGUGCUUAACACAUGCAAGUCGAACGGAAAGGCCCUGCUUUUGUGGGGUGCUCGAGUGGCGAACGGGUGAGUAACACGUGAGUAACCUGCCCUUGACUUUGGGAUAACUUCAGGAAACUGGGGCUAAUAACGGAAAGGAGGUCCUGCUUCAUGGUGGGGGUUGGAAAGUUUAGGUGGAGGGGGAUGGACUGGCGGAUUAUCAGGUUGGUGGGGGGGUAGUGGCUUACCAAGGCUUUGACGGGUAGCUGGCCUGAGAGGGUGACCGGUCACAGUGCGACUGAGAUACGGCCGAGACUCCUACGGGAGGCAGCAGUGGGGAAUAUUGCACAAUGGGCGGAAGCCGGAUGCAGCAACGCCGCGUGAGGGAUGACGGCCUUCGGGUGGUAGACCGCUUUCGCCUGUGACGAAGCGUGAGUGACGGUAAUGGGUAAAGAAGCACCGGCUAACUACGUG
rnacentral:rRNA from 1 species